GAUGAACGCUGGCGGCGUGCCUAAUACAUGCAAGUCGAGCGAACAGACGAGGAGCUUGCUCCUCUGACGUUAGCGGCGGACGGGUGAGUAACACGUGGAUAACCUACCUAUAAGACUGGGAUAACUUCGGGAAACCGGAGCUAAUACCGGAUAAUAUAUUGAACCGCAUGGUUCAAUAGUGAAAGACGGUUUUGCUGUCACUUAUAGAUGGAUCCGCGCCGCAUUAGCUAGUUGGUAAGGUAACGGCUUACCAAGGCAACGAUGCGUAGCCGACCUGAGAGGGUGAUCGGCCACACUGGAACUGAGACACGGUCCAGACUCCUACGGGAGGCAGCAGUAGGGAAUCUUCCGCAAUGGGCGAAAGCCUGACGGAGCAACGCCGCGUGAGUGAUGAAGGUCUUCGGAUCGUAAAACUCUGUUAUUAGGGAAGAACAAAUGUGUAAGUAACUAUGCACGUCUUGACGGUACCUAAGCAGAAAGCCACGGCUAACUACGG
rnacentral:rRNA from 1 species